GACAGAGGGUGCAACCGUUGUUCGGAAUCACUGGGCUUAAAGGGCGCGUAGGCGGGCUAUCAAGUCCGGGGUGAAAUCCUCCAGCUCAACUGGAGAACGGCCUCGGAUACUGAUGGUCUCGAGGGGGAUAGGGGCACGCGGAACUGUGGGUGGAGCGGUGAAAUGCGUUGAUAUCCAUAGGAACGCCGGUGGCGAAAGCGGCGUGCUGGAUCCCUUCUGACGCUGAGGCGCGAAAGCCAGGGGAGCAAACGGG
rnacentral:rRNA from 1 species